AGUUCAACUUUUUGAAAUAACCACCUUAUAUGUUUUUUUUUUUUAAAAACCACCUUAAAUUUCCAAAGUUUAAGAAAUCACCACCUUCUGUUAACUUCCGUCAAAUGUUCCGCCAGUGGGGCCCACAUCCAACAGUAGAGCUGGCAAAAGCUGACCCAACCCACCAACCCGACCCGAACCCAACCCGUUAUUAUUGGGUUGGGUCAAGAUUUUUCAACCCGUUUAACUAAAUAGGUCGACCUAACCCAACCCGUUUAAUAAAUGGGUUGGGUCAGGUUGAAAACUCCAACCCGAAAGCAACCCGCCUAACCCGUUUAAUUAUUGGGUCACAGGUCAACCCGCCAACCCGUCAACCUGUCAACCCGCUAACCCAACCCGCUAACCCGUUUAGAUGUUUUUUUAAAAAAUUACUAAAAAUCUUUAAUUAUUUCGGGCUUCUUUUGUUUGGGCUUUAGCCUUUAGGUCUAAGAAAACCCUAGAAUUUCUCACGCCUAUCUCUCAAUCUCUCAGUCUCUCUCUCACACACUGUCUCUCUCUCUAAACUGAAACGGUGAAACCCUAAUCUCUCACACGGCGCCUCCUCCACUCACCACUGCGCCGCUCGUCGAUCCCCGACGACGCUAGUCGAUCACCCGCUCUGAUCCAACAUCCAAUUGAACAUGUGAAGGUUAAAAAUUCAGAUAAUUGGAGGAGCUAUAUGGAGCCAUCAUGAAGUUGAAGGUGGAAGAACAAGUUGACGCGGUCGUGAAUGUGGAUGGAGUCACCCAUAGUUGCUUCACCAUGAACUUAAGAUUCCAACUAGCUUAAUUUCUUAAGAUUCCAACUAGCUUAAUUUGAACAAUAUAUUGAUGCGUUGUAAUCUACUUGAAUUUUAGUUUUAUGUUGGAUUUGGCCAUGUAUUAAACUUUAAUUUAAGAUUUGGUGAUGUAUUAAGCCUUAUGACUUGUGACAGGGCAUUAAUUAAUGGCAAAUAUAGCCUGUUUGAGACUUA